rnacentral:misc_RNA from 1 species
GAUGAAGAACGUAGCGAAAUGCGAUAAGUAGUGUGAAUUGCAGAAUUCAGUGAAUCAUCGAAUCUUUGAACGCACAUUGCGCCCUUUGGUAUUCCUUAGGGCAUGCCUGUUCGAGCGUCAUUUAAACCUUCAAGCUCAGCUUGGUGUUGGGUGACUGUCCGCCGCCUCCGGGCGCGUGGACUCGCCUCAAAAUUAUUGGCGGCCGGUACAUUGGCUUCGAGCGCAGCAGAAACGCGAACUCGGGCCCGUCGUAUUGGCUCCCAGAAGCUAUCUUCACAAUUUUGACCUCGGAUCAGGUAGGGAUACCCGCUGAACUUAAGCAUAUCAUAAGCGGAGGA